AUGGCUGGGAUUUUUUAUUUCCUCCUCUUUUCGUUUCUGUUUGGGAUUUGCGACGCUGUCACCGGUUCCAGGGUGUAUCCCGCGAAUGAAGUUACCUUACUGGAUUCCAGAUCUGUUCAAGGAGAACUUGGGUGGAUAGCAAGCCCUCUGGAAGGAGGGUGGGAGGAAGUGAGUAUUAUGGAUGAAAAAAAUACGCCAAUCCGAACCUACCAAGUGUGCAACGUGAUGGAGCCCAGCCAGAAUAAUUGGCUGCGAACUGAUUGGAUCACCCGAGAAGGGGCUCAGAGGGUGUACAUUGAGAUCAAGUUCACCUUGAGGGACUGCAACAGUCUUCCGGGUGUCAUGGGCACUUGCAAGGAGACGUUUAACCUGUACUACUAUGAAUCAGACAACGACAAGGAGCGUUUCAUCCGAGAGAGCCAGUUUGCCAAAAUUGACACCAUCGCCGCCGACGAGAGCUUCACCCAGGUGGACAUUGGCGACCGAAUCAUGAAGCUGAACACGGAAAUCCGGGAUGUAGGGCCAUUGAGCAAAAAGGGGUUCUAUCUGGCGUUUCAGGAUGUAGGGGCCUGCAUCGCCUUGGUUUCGGUCCGAGUGUUCUACAAGAAGUGUCCGCUCACCGUUCGCAAUCUGGCUCAGUUUCCAGACACCAUCACAGGGGCCGAUACGUCUUCCCUGGUGGAAGUUCGAGGCUCCUGUGUCAACAACUCAGAAGAGAAGGAUGUGCCAAAAAUGUACUGCGGGGCAGAUGGUGAAUGGCUGGUACCCAUUGGCAACUGCCUAUGCCAUGCCGGGCAUGAAGAGCGGAAUGGAGAAUGCCAAGCUUGCAAAAUUGGAUAUUACAAGGCCCUGUCCACGGACGCCAGCUGUGCCAAGUGUCCCCCACACAGCUAUUCUGUCUGGGAAGGAGCCACAUCGUGCACCUGUGACCGAGGCUUUUUCAGAGCCGACAACGAUGCCGCCUCCAUGCCCUGCACCCGUCCACCAUCUGCUCCUCUAAACUUGAUUUCAAAUGUCAAUGAGACUUCAGUGAACUUGGAAUGGAGCAGUCCUCAGAACACGGGUGGCCGCCAGGAUAUUUCCUACAAUGUCGUGUGCAAGAAAUGUGGAACGGGUGACUCCAGCAAGUGCCGACCCUGCGGAAGUGGGGUCCACUACACCCCGCAGCAGAACGGACUGAAGUCCACCAAGGUCUCCAUCGUUGACCUCCUGGCUCAUACCAACUACACGUUUGAAAUCUGGGCAGUGAAUGGCGUGUCCAAGUAUAACCCUAGCCCAGACCAGUCUGUGUCCGUCACUGUGACCACCAACCAAGCAGCACCCUCAUCCAUUGCUUUGGUCCAGGCUAAAGAAGUUACGAGAUAUAGUGUUGCUCUGGCUUGGCUGGAACCAGACCGGCCCAAUGGGGUGAUCUUGGAGUAUGAAGUCAAGUAUUAUGAGAAGGAUCAGAAUGAACGAAGCUAUCGGAUUGUUAGGACGGCUGCCAGGAACACGGAUAUCAAAGGCCUGAACCCUCUGACUUCCUAUGUUUUCCACGUCCGAGCCAGGACAGCAGCUGGCUAUGGAGAUUUCAGCGAGCCCCUGGAGGUCACAACCAACACAGUGCCUUCCCGGAUCAUUGGAGACGGGGCCAACUCCACCGUCCUGCUGGUCUCCGUCUCCGGCAGCGUGGUGCUAGCGGUUAUUCUUAUCGCCGCUUUUGUCAUCAGCAGGAGACGGAGUAAAUACAGUAAAGCAAAACAAGAAGCAGAUGAAGAGAAACAUUUGAACCAAGGUGUUAGAACUUACGUGGAUCCCUUUACGUACGAAGAUCCCAACCAAGCAGUUCGAGAAUUUGCCAAAGAAAUCGACGCAUCCUGCAUUAAGAUUGAAAAAGUCAUAGGAGUUGGUGAAUUUGGUGAAGUAUGCAGUGGGCGUCUCAAAGUGCCUGGCAAAAGAGAAAUCUACGUGGCUAUCAAGACAUUGAAAGCUGGUUAUACAGACAAACAGAGGAGGGACUUCCUGAGUGAGGCCAGCAUCAUGGGACAGUUUGACCACCCAAAUAUCAUUCACUUGGAAGGCGUUGUCACCAAAUGUAAACCAGUAAUGAUCAUAACAGAGUACAUGGAGAAUGGCUCCUUGGAUGCAUUCCUCAGGAAGAAUGAUGGCAGAUUUACGGUCAUUCAGCUGGUGGGCAUGCUUCGUGGCAUUGGGUCCGGGAUGAAGUAUUUAUCUGAUAUGAGCUACGUGCAUCGAGAUCUGGCUGCACGGAACAUUCUGGUCAAUAGCAACUUGGUCUGCAAAGUGUCUGAUUUUGGCAUGUCCCGAGUGCUAGAGGAUGAUCCAGAAGCAGCUUAUACCACCAGGGGUGGCAAGAUUCCUAUCCGGUGGACUGCGCCAGAAGCAAUUGCCUAUCGUAAAUUCACAUCAGCAAGUGAUGUAUGGAGCUACGGGAUCGUCAUGUGGGAAGUGAUGUCGUAUGGAGAGAGACCCUAUUGGGACAUGUCCAAUCAAGAUGUGAUUAAGGCCAUCGAGGAAGGCUAUCGGCUGCCCCCUCCAAUGGACUGUCCCAUUGCACUCCACCAGCUGAUGCUAGACUGUUGGCAGAAGGAGAGAAGCGACAGGCCUAAAUUUGGGCAGAUUGUCAACAUGUUGGACAAACUCAUCCGCAAUCCCAACAGCUUGAAGAGGACGGGGACCGAGAGCUCCAGACCUAACACUGCCUUGUUGGAUCCAAGCUCCCCUGAAUUCUCCGCCGUGGUAUCGGUGGGCGAUUGGCUCCAGGCCAUUAAAAUGGACCGGUAUAAGGAUAACUUCACUGCUGCUGGUUAUACCACACUAGAGGCUGUAGUGCACAUGAACCAGGAGUAAGUACUCAGCGAUGUAACACAAAAGGUGACCUGGCCAGAACUGGCAUCACAGCUGUCACACACCAGAAUAAGAUCUUGAGCAGUGUCCAGGCAAUGAGAACCCAAAUGCAGCAGAUACACGGCAGAAUGGUUCCAGUCUGAGCCGGUAUUGAAUAAACUCAAAACUCUUGAAAUUAGUUUACCUCAUCCAUGCACUUUAAUUGAAGAACUGCACUUUUUUUACUUCGUCUUCGCCCUCUGAAAUUAAAGAAAAAAAAAAUAUCUGCAGCGUUGCUUGGUGUACAGAUUGCUGAAACUGUGGGGCUUACAGAAAUGACGACCAUCAUUUGAAUUAGACCUGGAACAAAUCGUUUCUCAGAAGUCCAUCCAUCCAUCACCAAUUUGUAAAAUACAUGUACCUAUAUAAAUAGAACACCGCCUCCGGUUUCAAUGCCGUAUUUGCUGCCAGACACUGAGCUUCUCCGAGACAUCCUUGAUGGUCUCUCCAUUUGGAAUUACAACCGUAGCGUUUUGUUUGUGGCAUAAAUUACAGUCCAUCCUUCUUUCACUGGAAUGAAGACCAUGCCCACUUUUGAAGGACUCAGUUAUAACUUUUAAGGCUUGGUUCGUACCAGGGAUAAAACCUAGGUGAACGUCACGUGACUCAUCAGUGCUGCUGCUUGGUGCUCGGGCCACCUGGUGGAUUAUGCGGACACGCGGGGCUGGAGAGAAAAGGAAAGUGGAUUUUAAAAUAAUAAUAAUAAUAAUAAUAAUAAUAAUAAAACCCAAGCACCAUACCCCCUACCUGGACAAACGCGGUCCGUUUCUUUGCGCCCGAGGCUGUGCCAUAUAAGUCUUAUCUGGGGACUCUACAAACUUUUCGUAACUACCUUAUGGAUAGUGGAUUGUGACAAUCUUGCGUAGGGAAGUUUCAUACUUUCCUCCUUUAAAGAAGCAAACCCAAAUCUACAAGGGAGUACAUUCUGCUAUCUUGGCCUCACAGCCCUUCCUUUUGAUUACAAAGCCCACAGAAGCAAACAGAACACACCCUCCUCAGUUCCUCCUAAACGUGUUUCUUCUGCUUCUACUAUGCCAGUUCUGGAGCAAAGACGCUGAUGAAACAACACUCAUUCCUAAAAAGAAUGCAUUUCUGACUUUCAAAUCCCCUUUCCCGGUGAAAGAAAUGGCAAACAUUCAAGCUUCAGCAUCUGCUCUCCAAUUGCACUGAGGAAUGUCCUGUCUGGCAGCGCCAGCUCUGCAGAGCCCCUGUUCCCCAACUCCUUUGGUUUUAUUUAUAUGUAUUUCCAUAUCUCAUUUCUGUAUGUCCCUGCUGCAUUGGUGUGGCAGCAAGUGACCGAAGGCUACAGGUUUUACCAUGGACACCAGGUCCGGUGCCACCACACAAAACAAAGCCAGUUCCCGUGAGCUGCCUACGAUAUGCAUUGCUGAAGUAACGUUUUACCCAGGGUGUGCCAUCGCAGUGAUAUAAAUAUAUUUUUUUCCUAGACUAAAUAUGAGCUGACUAUCUCUUUUGAUGUGUGUACAUAGGUGUGUGUGUGUGUGUGUACGCGUGCGUACGUGUGUGUGAGUAUAUAACCUCAUGCUUAGAACUGCCUGUGAAUGUUGCGGAAUGCUACACGUGGAGAGGUCUGGUUUGCCACCAGUUCUGAGAUGAAGAGCCACGUGAGAUAGCGGGCCUGGAAACCGUGCCCCAUCCCCUUAGAAGGACAACCCGGAAGUGUUAAAUGUCCCGUAUCUAUAAGUGUAUUUUGUAGCAGCCACGCUAACCUUAGUAAGUCAUCCUACAGCUUUGGACAGAGGCAUUUUCACCUUAGCGGUGGAGUGAUUUUAGAAUAUAAAUCCAUUCAGGUGACAACCCAUCAUCAAAAUCACGAAUUCUGAUUGAACUCCUCAUCUGAAUCACCAGUUCCUUGGUGGAGGGAGAGAAGGGGAUGGAAUUUGUCUAGUAACCCCAAAUGGAAUACAAGUAGCCUUUGUUUUCCUGCAUAAAUGGACGUGUUGAAUGCGAACAAAUAUAUGCAAUUCAUAUACUUUCGGAGAUGAACGUAGACGCGUGUGUCGGCUUUCAGAUGAUGUGUCCUGGAUUAAUACUUUGUCUCCCAAUAUCACAGAAAAAUACAUACCAGUGACUCUUGAGGUUAGCAUAGUAGGGAUGAAAUGGCCUCAAGCAACUUCAGGUUCCCAGUUUACACGGAAAGUUUGACUGUUAUGAAUAUGCAGCUAACUUCUGUGACCGUCAAAAGUGCAUCAGCCUUCUGGAAUCUGAGGUCCAGUGUGUGAAGAUUCAGUUUUGAUCUGAUAAUGUAUACCAAAAUCCAGCCAACAUACUGCCAUUUUUCAUAAUCGGAGUGGCUGCCUUGCUUAUUCUAAGCUAUGGUUGCAGAAACUGUGGCCAUUUAUAUAAGCUAUAACAUCAAAUCAGGGAAAAAUGGGGGAAAAAAAAAAAGAUUCCAAACCUUAUAUUGUUGGAUAAGUAGAGAAAAUCAUCAAUAAAUAUUUAUUACAUUCUGACAGGGUGUAUGGCAUUGUAUUCUCAUAACUAUGCCAGAGUGACAAAGUUAAUUCACCCCUUUUUGGGGACUUUAAUAUAUUUUUAAAGGGAUGUGCCUAUGCAUUGAUGCCUGAAAAAAUAUGUAUAAAGAAAUGAGGUUGAAUCUCUGAGUGGGUUUUCUUUCCCCGGAGGUCAGGGCAGGAGACCAACUUCAGGUGCUGUAUCCAGCCCCAAGAAUGGAUCCUGCCCUAGUGAGCUCAGAUGCUAAGUCAUGCUCAGAUGCUAAAUCCUUAGGCAGCAUUAAGCUGUCCCCCUGCACCAAAUCAAGUAGCUUCACCAUGUGUUCGCUGGCCCCAAAUUAUUUUUAACAACCUUAAGAAUGAAAUGUUUUGGUGUGUUUUCAAAAGUUAUUUUAAAGAAAAGUUAUGCUCACUACACUGCUGGUGUGUGUUUUUGAGACCUCUUGUAUUCAAUCUGUGAAGGAUAUGUGUAUUAAUCCAUACACACUUAUAGCCUCAAUAUUUGUCUGAAGACACUUAAAUUCUGACAAGUAAAAGAAAGUUCUAGAAGCAAUAUUUUCACUUCUUUAACAUUCUCCAAACAACAUCAAGCAUUGGUACACACUGAAGAGUGCAUUUAUUUUUUGUAUCACUCCAAGCAUGUUGGAAUAUGCAAGGACUGUGGUUAAAAUUAGAAUGUAUAAGGCGUAUUAUAAUUUAGUUCAUACUGAAGAAGAAAUUAACAGAACAAUGCUUGGUUCAGACAUGUUCCAAAAUUUGAGCAAUCUCUUGAGUUAGACAUAGAGAUUUUUCUAUUUUGUUUUAAUUUGUCAAGGUAUUUUUCUUCCCUUCAUGAACUUUAGGUACACAUAACUUAUGUCAUUUAUUUAUGGUCUUUUAUACCUAGUUUGUAAAAUUGUAAAAUAGCAAACUAAAUGCAAAGAGUUUGCAUUUGAAAAUAAUAAAG